CCUACGGGUGGCAGCAGUGAGGAAUAUUGGUCAAUGGGCGAGAGCCUGAACCAGCCAAGUCGCGUGAAGGAUGACUGUCUUAUGGAUUGUAAACUUCUUUUGUAGGGGAAUAAAGAGGGGCACGUGUGCCUCAGUGAAUGUACCCUACGAAUAAGCAUCGGCUAACUCCGUGCCAGCAGCCGCGGUAAUACGGAGGAUGCGAGCGUUAUCCGGAUUUAUUGGGUUUAAAGGGUGCGUAGGCGGCCUGUUAAGUCAGCGGUGAAAUCUAGGAGCUUAACUCCUAAAUUGCCAUUGAUACUGGCGGGCUUGAGUGUAGAUGAGGUAGGCGGAAUGCGUGGUGUAGCGGUGGAAUGCAUAGAUAUCACGCAGAACUCCGAUUGCGAAGGCAGCUUACUAAGGUACAACUGACGCUGAAGCACGAAAGCGUGGGUAUCAAACAGGAUUAGAUACCCCUGUAGUC
rnacentral:rRNA from 1 species